ACUCAGAUCAUGACUUACUCUUGGGCUAUGUCUGGGCCUCCUUCUAACUCUAAGUGGCAGGAAUGUGAAUAAAGAAGACUGGCGCUCUUACAGCGGGGCAGGGUGUUAUUACACAAUCACUGGACAUGCCGGCAGCACGUUCAGGGGACCAGAUUGCUUUCCUGCACCCUGUUUCUCCCCGACCCCCAACACGGUCAGCUUCUCCUGUCAGCAUGCUUCCGGAAUCGGAUUUCAGUCUGCAAAAGACAUUGCCCACGCUUCCACUGAAGGUGCUUCUUUGCUUCGCACUAAGGCUGCUCCUUGCCAAUACACCCUCACGAGCUCUAGGCC
ensembl:lncRNA